CAAUAUACCAUCUAAAGCUAAGUGUUUUAAGAACUUGCUUCAGUCACUGUACUACUGCACAUCGUAACUACUUUUGAAUGAAUAUUUUAAGCUAAUUCUGAUUUUGUUGUUUUUCAGGAAGCGCCAGGUCAGAAUGUCUGAGAAGAUCAAGUGUGCUAACACCGAUAAUGACAAGCUGGAUACAUUGGAAAGCUGGAUUUCUUUUAAUAAUGUGACCAAACCCAUUUGGCAUGUCGGACAAUACUGAACACUGAACACUAAAGAAGCAAAUGAAGAACCACAUUGAAGCAGUAGAGGGUGUCCAGCCAAUGUCAGAUCCAGCGGCUACAUGUUGGGAGCUGCUUCACUACACCGCUCAUUGCAUUAAUUAAUUUCAUUUUAUUUAAAAUUUAGUUUUAUCAUAUUAAAUAAUUGGUUUCUAUAUAUAGAUAGAUAUAGAUCUAUAGAUAUUAAAAUAUAAAAUAUUUGUUUAAUAUAAUAAUUGGUUUCUGCUGAGUCUGGUUCCUCUCAAGGUUUUUUUUAAUCUCCUUUUUGUUUUUUUCCUUGCCACUGUCGCCACAGGCUUGCUCACUGGGGGUGUUGUGCCAAAUCCUGUGUCACUCUCAUGUCUCUGCCAACUAGGGUUUUCAAAACAACAGUUUGCAAGUCGAUACAAAUAUUUAUUUAUUAAUUGAAAUUAUAAAAAUAUAAAUAACCAGGGCCCCACAAUUAAUUAUAAAUAAAAAUGUAAUCAUGUUAAAAGCCCCUCUGGUUUUCUGAAAUGACAGGACUUUACUCUUAUUACUCUUAUAAAUACCUGCGUUGUAAUAAACCAAAUCGUGAACAGUAAUAGAGUAUUUUAAAAUAUUUUUGAAAUUAACAUGCAGAAGGUUAACAAUAAUCCCAACAAAUUGUUACCGGUAUUGUCCCAAAAUAAGAACUUGUGUUAGAAUUUUUGAAAGUGAAAAAAAUUUAAGUUUUGAAAAAAAAUUAAAGCAAAAAUUAUUGUGUUAAACAAGUUAACAAAUAAGGUGGUUACUACACAUAUAGGUAUAUAAUUUUUCUCUGUGUACAUUGUAUUAUUUCAACAGUAAAGUAUUAGAAAUUGAAGAAUUUAAAGCAAAAUUAUUAUUCUGUUAAAGAAGUUAACAAAUAAGUUAGUUACCACACAUAUAUAGGUAUAUCAUUUUCUACUAGUAAAAGUAUAUUGUUGCCACUGUAAAGUAAUUGUUCCUUUUUCACAUGUAGUAAAAAUAGGUAAAAUGUAUAUUUAAAUGUGAGCUAUUACAACAUUUUAGGAUCUAGCUGUGCAUUUAGGUGG